GUUCCUUCUUCCUCUGUCCUGAGCACAAGGUGCUUAUCACCUACAGUCUGCCCUGUACACAGGACUGACCGCAGUCAGUUCAGCUGAGAAUGCGUAAGGAGACCCCAAGGACAUCUGAUAGGGCAGAGACAAAGCAGUAAUGAAAGAGAGAGUAAUGCUUAUACUUUGUUACUUCCCUGAUGAUCUCAGAAGCCCACCAGGACACCUUGAAAAGUAAAUCUCGUUCUUUCAGCACUUGAAAGCAUCUACUCACUCAUAUUGUUGCAGAAACUCCAGCGAACCGGAUGGAAGAUGCUCUGCACCAAGGAGCUUGGAAGGCAACUUUUAUUAACCCCGGGCUAAACACAGCUGAUGUUCUACCCGACCUUGGAGCACACUUUCAAGAUUUCAUGAGUUUGUAUUUUCCUGGGUUGCAGCCCGAAUUAGUCCCAAAUAAAUGUCAUUUUCUUUGUUCCCUACUAGCUUUUCUGCUCAGUCAACACUGAAAACGUUGUCUCAGGUAAAAGUUGUCUCGUGCA
rnacentral:lncRNA from 1 species